GAAGGGAUGUAUUUAUUAGAUUAAAAACCAAUGCCCUCUGGGCUCCUUGGUGAUUCAUGAUAACUUUUCGAAUCGCAGGCCUUGCGCCGGCGAUGGUUCAUUCAAAUUUCUUCCCUAUCAACUUUCGAUGUUUGGGUAUUGGCCAAACAUGGUCGCAACGGGUAACGGAGGGUUAGGGCUCGACCCCGGAGAAGGAGCCUGAGAAACGGCUACUACAUCCAAGGAAGGCAGCAGGCGCGCAAAUUACCCAAUCCCGAUUCGGGGAGGUAGUGACAAUAAAUACUGAUACAGGGCUCUUUUGGGUCUUGUAAUUGGAAUGAGUACAAUUUAAAUCCCUUAACGAGGAACAAUUGGAGGGCAAGUCUGGUGCCAGCAGCCGCGGUAAUUCCAGCUCCAAUAGCGUAUAUAAAGUUGUUGUGGUUAAAAAGCUCGUAGUUGAACCUUGGGCCUGGCUGGCCGGUCCGCCUCACCGCGUGCACUGGUCCGGCCGGGCCUUUCCCUCUGUGGAACCCCAUGCCCUUCACUGGGUGUGGCGGGGAAACAGGACUUUUACUUUGAAAAAAUUAGAGUGCUCCAGGCAGGCCUAUGCUCGAAUACAUUAGCAUGGAAUAAUGAAAUAGGACGUGUGGUUCUAUUUUGUUGGUUUCUAGGACCGCCGUAAUGAUUAAUAGGGACAGUCGGGGGCAUCAGUAUUCAAUUGUCAGAGGUGAAAUUCUUGGAUUUAUUGAAGACUAACUACUGCGAAAGCAUUUGCCAAGGAUGUUUUCAUUAAUCAGGAACGAAAGUUAGGGGAUCGAAGACGAUCAGAUACCGUCGUAGUCUUAACCAUAAACUAUGCCGACUAGGGAUCGGACGAUGUUAUUUUUUGACGCGUUCGGCACCUUACGAGAAAUCAAAGUGCUUGGGCUCCAGGGGGAGUAUGGUCGCAAGGCUGAAACUUAAAGGAA
rnacentral:rRNA from 1 species